rnacentral:rRNA from 1 species
CAGCAGCCGCGGUAAUACGUAGGGUGCGAGCGUUAAUCGGAAUUACUGGGCGUAAAGCGUGCGCAGGCGGUGAUGUAAGACAGAUGUGAAAUCCCCGGGCUCAACCUGGGAACUGCAUUAGUGACUGCAUCGCUGGAGUGCGGCAGAGGGGGACGGAAUUCCGCGUGUAGCAGUGAAAUGCGUAGAUAUGCGGAGGAACACCGAUGGCGAAGGCAUUCCCCUGGGCCUGCACUGACGCUCAUGCACGAAAGCGUGGGGAGCAAACAGGAUUAGAUACCCGAGUAGUCCCUGUCUCUUAUAA